rnacentral:pre_miRNA from 1 species
AAAGUACUCCCUCCGUCCCAAAAUUCUUGUCUUAGAUUUGUCUAGAUAUGGAUGUAUCAAGUCACAUUUUAGUAUUAGAUACAUCCAUAUCUAGGCAAAUCUAAGACAAGAAAUUUGGGACAGAGGGAGUAGUUG